rfam:Streptomyces sp. CB02056 scaffold9, whole genome shotgun sequence.
GAGGAAACCGGUGCGAACCCGGUGCGGUCCCGCCACUGUGACCGCGGUUCACCGGUAGACCGGUCGGCCGCGGGAGCCAGGAACUC